GUGUGACUCGUCACACUAUCAUUAACUGAAUCCAUAGGUUAAUGAGGCGAACCGGGGGAACUGAAACAUCUAAGUACCCCGAGGAAAAGAAAUCAACCGAGAUUCCCCCAGUAGCGGCGAGCGAACGGGGAGGAGCCCAGAGCCUGAAUCAGCAUGUGUGUUAGUGGAAGCGUCUGGAAAGGCGCGCGAUACAGGGUGACAGCCCCGUACACAAAAGCGCAUGUGCUGUGAGCUCGAUGAGUAGGGCGGGACACGUGGUAUCCUGUCUGAAUAUGGGGGGACCAUCCUCCAAGGCUAAAUACUCCUGACUGACCGAUAGUGAACCAGUACCGUGAGGGAAAGGCGAAAAGAACCCCGGCGAGGGGAGUGAAAAAGAACCUGAAACCGUGUACGUACAAGCAGUGGGAGCACCCUUUGGGUGUGACUGCGUACCUUUUGUAUAAUGGGUCAGCGACUUAUAUUCUGUAGCAAGGUUAACCGAAUAGGGGAGCCGGAGGGAAACCGAGUCUUAACCGGGCGUUAAGUUGCAGGGUAUAGACCCGAAACCCGGUGAUCUAGCCAUGGGCAGGUUGAAGGUUGGGUAACACUAACUGGAGGACCGAACCGACUAAUGUUGAAAAAUUAGCGGAUGACCUGUGGCUGGGGGUGAAAGGCCAAUCAAACCGGGAGAUAGCUGGUUCUCCCCGAAAGCUAUUUAGGUAGCGCCUCGUGAAUUCAUCUCCGGGGGUAGAGCACUGUUUCGGCUAGGGGGCCAUCCCGGCUUACCAACCCGAUGCAAACUGCGAAUACCGGAGAAUGUUAUCACGGGAGACACACGGCGGGUGCUAACGUCCGUCGUGAAGAGGGAAACAACCCAGACCGCCAGCUAAGGUCCCAAAGUCAUGGUUAAGUGGGAAACGAUGUGGGAAGGCCCAGACAGCCAGGAUGUUGGCUUAGAAGCAGCCAUCAUUUAAAGAAAGCGUAAUAGCUCACUGGUCGAGUCGGCCUGCGCGGAAGAUGUAACGGGGCUAAACCAUGCACCGAAGCUGCGGCAGCGACACUGUGUGUUGUUGGGUA
rnacentral:rRNA from 1 species